rnacentral:rRNA from 1 species
CUUGGUCAUUUAGAGGAAGUAAAAGUCGUAACAAGGUCUCCGUAGGUGAACCUGCGGAGGGAUCAUUACUGAGUGUGGGCUCCGGCCCUACCUCCAACCCCAUGUCGAAACGACUCUGUUGCCUCGGGGGCGACCCGGCCUUCGGGCGUCGGGGCCCCCGGUGGACACCUUCAUAACUCUUGCAUCUCUUGCGUCUGAGUGAUACAUAUAAUCAAUCAAAACUUUCAACAACGGAUCUCUUGGUUCUGGCAUCGAUGAAGAACGCAGCGAAAUGCGAUAAGCAAUGUGAAUUGCAGAAUUCAGUGAAUCAUCGAAUCUUUGAACGCACAUUGCGCCCCCUGGCAUUCCGGGGGGCAUGCCUGUUCGAGCGUCAUUACACCACUCAAGCCUGGCUUGGUAUUGAGCGCCGCGGCCUGCCCGCGCGCUCCAAUGUCUCCGGCUGAGCCGUCCGUCUCUAAGCGUUGUGAAUAGCGAUUGCUUGCGAGGCCCGGGCGGUUCGACGCCGUUAAACCCCCCAUUUUCUAUGGUUGACCUCGGAUCAGGUAGGGAUACCCGCUGAACUUAAGCAUAUCAAUAAGCGGAGGA